AGCGAACGCUGGCGGCAGGCUUAACACAUGCAAGUCGAACGAUCCUUCGGGAUAGUGGCGGACGGGUGAGUAACACGUGGGAACGUGCCCUUAGGUUCGGAACAACACAGGGAAACUUGUGCUAAUACCGGAUGUGCCCUUACGGGGAAAGAUUUAUCGCCUUUGGAGCGGCCCGCGUCUGAUUAGCUAGUUGGUGAGGUAAAGGCUCACCAAGGCUACGAUCAGUAGCUGGUCUGAGAGGAUGGCCAGCCACACUGGGACUGAGACACGGCCCAGACUCCUACGGGAGGCAGCAGUGGGGAAUCUUGCGCAAUGGGGGCAACCCUGACGCAGCCAUGCCGCGUGGAUGAUGAAGGUCUUAGGAUUGUAAAAUCCUUUCAGCGGGGACGAUAAUGACGGUACCCGCAGAAGAAGCCCCGGCUAACUUCGUGCCAGCCGCCGCCGUAA
rnacentral:rRNA from 1 species